GAUGAACGCUAGCUACAGGCUUAACACAUGCAAGUCGAGGGGUAACGAGAGGAAAGCUUGCUUUCCUUGUCGACGACCGGCGCACGGGUGAGUAACGCGUAUCCAACCUGCCCCCAACUAGGGAAUAACCUUGCGAAAGUAAGACUAAUACCCUAUAAUUUCCUCAGAUGACAUCUGACGAGGAAUAAAGAUUUAUCGGUUGUGGAUGGGGAUGCGUGUGAUUAGCUUGUUGGCGGGGUAACGGCCCACCAAGGCAACGAUCAGUAGGGGUUCUGAGAGGAAGGUCCCCCACAUUGGAACUGAGACACGGUCCAAAAUCCUACGGGAGGCAGCAGUGAGGAAUAUUGGUCAAUGGGCGGAAGCCUGAACCAGCCAAGUAGCGUGCAGGAUGACGGCCCUAUGGGUUGUAAACUGCUUUUAUACAGGAAUAAAGUUAGCCACGUGUGGUUAUUUGUAGGUACUGUAUGAAUAAGGACCGGCUAAUUCCGUGCCAGCCGCCGCCGUAA
rnacentral:rRNA from 1 species